UGAGGAAUAUUGGUCAAUGGACGUAAGUCUGAACCAGCCAAGUAGCGUGCAGGAUGACGGCCCUAUGGGUUGUAAACUGCUUUUAUAUGGGGAUAAAGUGGGGAACGUGUUCCCUUUUGCAGGUACCAUAUGAAUAAGGACCGGCUAAUUCCGUGCCAGCAGCCGCGGUAAUACGGAAGGUUCGGGCGUUAUCCGGAUUUAUUGGGUUUAAAGGGAGCGUAGGCCGUUUGGUAAGCGUGUUGUGAAAUGUAGGAGCUCAACUUCUAGAUUGCAGCGCGAACUGUCAGACUUGAGUGCGCACAACGUAGGCGGAAUUCAUGGUGUAGCGGUGAAAUGCUUAGAUAUGACGAGGAACUCCGAUUGCGAAGGCAGCUGACGGGAGCGGCACUGACGCUUAAGCUCGAAGGUGCGGGUAUCAAACAGG
rnacentral:rRNA from 1 species